AGAAAGUUAGUCUAAGAAAGACA
rnacentral:tRNA from 1 species